CCUGUAAAGCUGAUCUUGGAGACAAGACCCUCUAAUUCACAGCAUAAAAUCAUAGAAAUUACACAAAGCCAGACUUCAGAAAAAACGCACUAGAACGAAGUAAGGCCCAUGUGGAGAGAGUAGCACUACUUCACUCCUGCAUUUUUAAUGCAGCAAAUGUUCAUGUUUCUUCUGAGUCUCCUGACUGCUGAACAAUCCAAAUGUCUAUUUUAGGACAACCUUAAGACCUCCAUAGAAUUACAGAUGCUACUCUGCUCUUAUAUGUACAGCCUCCCUGAAUUACACCACCCUUCUAUAUCCAAAUACAUUGCUCAGAACUAAUGACUGCAUCUCUACCUUCGGAAGAAGGGCAUUCCUUUGGAGGAAAUG